rnacentral:lncRNA from 1 species
CAUGCAUGCUGUUUCUCCUGCCACCUUGUGAAGAUGGUGCUUGCUUGCCUUUCACCUCCCACCAUGAUUACUGGUGCAUAUGAGAAGAGAAGACACAAGAAAACACACAUGGAAGAGAGUGAUGAAGGCGAAGACCGGAGUGAUGUAGCUCCAAGCCACAGAAUGUCAGAGAUCGCCAGGAGCCACCUCCGGGAUAAGCAGAUGGAAAGGCAGCUCAACAUCUGAGAAGCCAGUCUUACUCCCUGCAGGCAACAGCUGCUUCCAGAAAACAGCCCUGUAAUUGUCACCAUCAAAUCCAUAUAUUUUCAAGGGAAGUUGGUCCCACACCAGAAGUCAUAGCUGAAUCACCAGCAGUAAUGCAGGGACAUACUGGUUGCUUCUUGGCUUUUCCAACCCUCUGCCAUGCUUGAACAUCUUUGUGAAAGUCCAGGAACAACAAAUAAGCUUAAGGAUAAAAGCCCCCCAGCCAUACCACCACAACCCCCUGUUAAACUCAUGCAUGACUUGUAGAAUCCUUUCCCCACUGUCACUAAAAGGCUUUUUACAUUUUCCCUCCUUAAAACACCAGUUUACUGAAUGGAACGCUAUUUCCUAAAUAUUUGCUACACACACAGCUGUAUAUAGAGUUCCCAGGAGAUGACUUUUUUCUUGUCAUCUUUUAAAACUACAGUUAUAUGUUGAUUUAAUUAUCUUCUCUCUAGAUUACUUCACCAAAGUACAGUUCCUACAGGAAGAUAAUGAUCUGACCUAACCUACUAUUGGCUGAAGGAAGGAGAAAAGCAGCUGAAGAUGUCUGUUGAGUGAUUACCCUCAUAAUCCGUGACUAAGAACAUCCAAAUCAGCAUGGCUUCUUCCUGUCUGAAAUUAUUACUACUUAGGGUUUUUCACGUGUUAUUUCAUUUAUUGAUUAUUCUGUUUUAAACUUGCAAGACGUAUUGUCUCUUCAGAAAUAAAACUUUAUCACUUGCUUCAUCAAUUCAAUUAAUUUCACAAUGCAUUGAUUAAACUCCUACGUAAGCAUUUCAGCAUUUUAAAACAUUUUUAAAAAGGUAAAAUCAGGACUGUCAUGUGAAUGAUAUGCCAAAGGUUUUA